rnacentral:rRNA from 1 species
AUGGCCCCCGGUGCCCUAGCCCGCCUCAUCAUCGGCCGCCGCGCAGCGUCCCCGCUCCUGGCGCGCCCCUUCGCCGCGAAGGCCCGCGCGCCGCAGCGGGCGCCGGAGCCUGAGCCCCUGUCGGAGGAGGACGACGACUUCACCAGCGGCGGGGAGGCAGCCCCCAUCCCCACCGAGGGCAUCAGCAAGCCGCUCGCCGGUAUCCUCAAGGAGCUCGGGAAGAGGGUUCCCGAGUCCCUCCUGAAGACCCGCCUCGAGGACAAUGGCUUCGCCCUCAAGUACAUCCCAUGGCACCUUGCUAACAAAAUUCUGAAUGCACACGCUCCAGAAUGGUCUGGGGAGGUUCGCAACAUUGUCUACUCAUCUGAUGGGAAAUCUGUAUCUGUUGUCUACCGUGUGACUCUCUAUGGAACUGAUGCAGAGAUCUACAGAGAGGCUACUGGAACUGCUUCUGUUGAGGAUAAAGGCUUUGGAGAUCCUGUUCAGAAGGCUGAAGGAAUGGCUUUUCGCCGAGCUUGUGCCCGCCUUGGUCUUGGACUUCAUCUCUAUCAUGAAGAUAUGUCAUAG